UGCGAGGUAGAGCAGAGGGCAGCUCGCCAGCCUCAUAAGCUGGAGGUCGCAGGUUCGAAUCCUGCCCGCGCAA
rnacentral:tRNA from 1 species